rnacentral:rRNA from 1 species
GACGAACGCUGGCGGCGUGCCUAACACAUGCAAGUCGAACAGGGUUAUUUCUUCGGAGAUAACUUAGUGGCGAACGGGUGAGUAACGCGUGAGAAACCUGCCUUUCAGUGGGGGACAACAGUUGGAAACGACUGCUAAUACCGCAUAAUGUCAUUUGGGGGCACCCCUGAAUGACCAAAGAUUUAUUGCUGAAAGAUGGUCUCGCGUCUGAUUAGCUAGAUGGCGGGGUAACGGCCCACCAUGGCAACGAUCAGUAGCCGGUCUGAGAGGAUGAACGGCCACAUUGGGACUGAGAUACGGCCCAGACUCCUACGGGAGGCAGCAGUGGGGAAUAUUGGGCAAUGGGGGAAACCCUGACCCAGCAACGCCGCGUGAAGGAAGAAGGCCUUCGGGUUGUAAACUUCUUUUACCAGGGACGAACAAAUGACGGUACCUGGAGAAAAAGCAACGGCUAACUACGUGCCAGCAGCCGCCGCAGUAA